UACGAAGGUCCCAAGCGUUAUCCGGAUUUAUUGGGUUUAAAGGGUGCGUAGGCGGGCUAUUAAGUCAGUGGUGAAAGCCUCAAGCUUAACUUGAGAAUUGCCAUUGAUACUGAUGACCUUGAGUACAUUUUGAAGUGGGCGGAAUGUGUCAUGUAGCGGUGAAAUGCUUAGAUAUGACACAGAACACCGAUUGCGUAGGCAGCUCACUAAACUGUAACUGACGCUGAGGCACGAAAGCGUGGGGAGCAAACAGG
rnacentral:rRNA from 1 species